rnacentral:tRNA from 1 species
GCUGGGAUAGCUGGGUUGGUAGAGCAUGAGACUCUUAAUCUCAGGGUUCUGGGUUCGAGCUCCUUGUUAGGCA